UGGGGAAUAUUGGGCAAUGGGCGGAAGCCUGACCCAGCAACGCCGCGUGAAGGAAGAAGGCUUUCGGGUUGUAAACUUCUUUUCUUGGGGACGAAGAAAGUGACGGUACCUAAGGAAUAAGCCACGGCUAACUACGUGCCAGCAGCCGCGGUAAUACGUAGGUGGCAAGCGUUAUCCGGAUUUAUUGGGUGUAAAGGGCGUGUAGGCGGGACUGCAAGUCAGAUGUGAAAAACUAUGGGCUCAACUCAUAGCCUGCAUUUGAAACUGUAGUUCUUGAGUGCUGGAGAGGCAAUCGGAAUUCCGUGUGUAGCGGUGAAAAUGCGUAGAUAUACGGAGGAACACCAGUGGCGAAGGCGGAUUGCUGGACAGUAACUGACGCUGAGGCGCGAAAAGCGUGGGGAGCAAAACAGGAUUAGAUACC
rnacentral:rRNA from 1 species